rnacentral:rRNA from 1 species
ACAACGAAGAGUUUGAUCCUGGCUCAGGAUGAACGCUAGCGACAGGCUUAACACAUGCAAGUUGAGGGGCAGCGGGGGUAGCGAUACCCGCCGGCGACCGGCGCACGGGUGAGUAACGCGUAUGCAACUUGCCUAUCAGAGGGGGAUAACCCGGCGAAAGUCGGACUAAUACCGCAUGAAGCAGGGAUCCCGCAUGGGAAUAUUUGCUAAAGAUUCAUCGCUGAUAGAUAGGCAUGCGUUCCAUUAGGCAGUUGGCGGGGUAACGGCCCACCAAACCGACGAUGGAUAGGGGUUCUGAGAGGAAGGUCCCCCACAUUGGUACUGAGACACGGACCAAACUCCUACGGGAGGCAGCAGUGAGGAAUAUUGGUCAAUGGCCGAGAGGCUGAACCAGCCAAGUCGCGUGAGGGAUGAAGGUUCUAUGGAUCGUAAACCUCUUUUAUAAGGGAAUAAAGUGCGGGACGUGUCCCGUUUUGUAUGUACCUUAUGAAUAAGGAUCGGCUAACUCCGUGCCAGCAGCCGCGGUAAUACGGAGGAUCCGAGCGUUAUCCGGAUUUAUUGGGUUUAAAGGGUGCGUAGGCGGCCUUUUAAGUCAGCGGUGAAAGUCUGUGGCUCAACCAUAGAAUUGCCGUUGAAACUGGGGGGCUUGAGUAUGUUUGAGGCAGGCGGAAUGCGUGGUGUAGCGGUGAAAUGCAUAGAUAUCACGCAGAACCCCGAUUGCGAAGGCAGCCUGCCAAGCCAUUACUGACGCUGAUGCACGAAAGCGUGGGGAUCAAACAGGAUUAGAUACCCUGGUAGUCCACGCAGUAAACGAUGAUCACUAGCUGUUUGCGAUACACUGUAAGCGGCACAGCGAAAGCGUUAAGUGAUCCACCUGGGGAGUACGCCGGCAACGGUGAAACUCAAAGGAAUUGACGGGGGCCCGCACAAGCGGAGGAACAUGUGGUUUAAUUCGAUGAUACGCGAGGAACCUUACCCGGGUUUGAACGCAUUCGGACCGAGGUGGAAACACCUUUUCUAGCAAUAGCCGUUUGCGAGGUGCUGCAUGGUUGUCGUCAGCUCGUGCCGUGAGGUGUCGGCUUAAGUGCCAUAACGAGCGCAACCCUUGCCACUAGUUACUAACAGGUAAAGCUGAGGACUCUGGUGGGACUGCCAGCGUAAGCUGCGAGGAAGGCGGGGAUGACGUCAAAUCAGCACGGCCCUUACAUCCGGGGCGACACACGUGUUACAAUGGCGUGGACAAAGGGAAGCCACCUGGCGACAGGGAGCGAAUCCCCAAACCACGUCUCAGUUCGGAUCGGAGUCUGCAACCCGACUCCGUGAAGCUGGAUUCGCUAGUAAUCGCGCAUCAGCCAUGGCGCGGUGAAUACGUUCCCGGGCCUUGUACACACCGCCCGUCAAGCCAUGGGAGCCGGGGGUACCUGAAGUCCGUAACCGCGAGGAUCGGCCUAGGGUAAAACUAGUGACUGGGGCUAAGUCGUAACAAGGUAGCCGUACCGGAAGGUGCGGCUGGAACACCUCCUUU